UCGUGACAGUCUUGAGCUUGGUGUGUGUUUGCACACUUCUGGUUGUGUGUCCAUUCGUUCUGUUUAAAGUUUUAAAAUGGGCCACCGCCUCCAAGCUGUCAGUGUCUGUGUCUUUUCACACCAGGAAGACAUCAGCUCGAGUUGUUGAUGAGUAUGUGGAAAUGCACUCAGUCGUCCUUACAAACUCACCCACGGCUCGAAGUGAUAGAGGUUCACUUAUCCACGACUUUCACAGGCCUACAAACACAGAGC